UCCAGUUCUUUAUAAGGCCACCCCACAGGCUAGGAAAAUCACUCCUUUCCAAGCUGCCUAGAUCCGAGAGAGCUGCUGCUGGCUGAGACAGUGUGUGAUGUCUCUGGUCUUCAGCAAGGUUUGCCUUAUUGGAUUUUUAAAAACUGCUUGUUGGGUUUUUGUCUUCCCUGGCUGGCUGUUACAAUUUUUUAAAAGCAGUGUGCCUUACUCCUGCCCUGUUGCUGCCCAGUCAGCCUGCCAGGCCCUGUGCCUGCCCUGCUGGGCCUAGUCUUAGGCCUUUGGCUAUUUUUUAAAAUUUCAAUAUAAUUUUUCCCUAGUUGGCUGCUGCUUUUAAUUUUUAUUUUAAAAAUGCAGCUGUGCCUGGCCCCUGCCUCCUGCUGCCAGUUCCCAGCUCCAGCAAGCCAGGCUCUCUGGGUCCUGCUGGGCCCACGCUUGGGCAUUGGCCCUGCUGCUGCAGUUUAUAUUUUUUAAUUUUUAACUGCAGCACUGGGUCUGAAAGUGAGAGAGAGGCUUUAUUUUUUCUCUCUGAUUUAAAUUAUCUUGCUUUUUUGCCUUUUGUUUUGUUUUAUACUUUGGUUAUUUUCUGUUUGGGUGGAUGGCCCUGCUGGACCCCAUCUGCCCUCCCUCUGGCUAUGAUCAUGUGCCAGGAGCUACUCUGUUGGGCCUGCAGUCCCUGGCCUCCCAUCCAGCCAAAGACUUAUGGACAACGAAGGAGUGAUCCCAGCCAAUCAGGGAUCAUGUGAUGAACCUUAUGCCAUCGUUGCACUUCCCUAAAGACAAAUGGGAGAAAGGGCAGUGUUUCCUACAUCAGUCACAUGGAAGAUCCUUCACAAUCAGAUCAGUGAUUGUUCAUCAAUCAGCAUGGAUGAGUGGUGGUGCCCAUUUAUGAAACAAUCCUGAAAAAUAUCGUGGAAAGGGAGUGGCUGUUCUGUGAUACCAAAAACAUCCAUAAAAAGCACCAUCUAUAUUCAGCUCAGCCCUGGUUUCAUCCACUACCCUUUAUAUGACCCUUGCUUGGAGUUCUUAAUGGGAUUGGUGCUGAACUUGAUAGGAGCUGAACUCCUGAUAUGCUAAAACACUGCUGAAAAAUGUGCAGCUGGCUUGUAUAAUUCCCUGAAUUACAUUUCUGUUCUUGUGCGGUGUAUGUGAUUUGAAGCGCUGCAUAUCUGUUAUUAAAAAUACUCCCAUUGUUGCCUGUU